rnacentral:snRNA from 1 species
AGGUGAGAGCAAUCUGGCUGUGACAUCUAUUGCCAUGUUGAUUGUUGAGGUUGGCUUGAUCUGGCUGGCCUGGCUGCCUGGCCCUUCCUCCAUUGCCACUCCACAUUGUGCUGAAGCUGCAUAGUCAGUGGGAAGGAUGAGCUUCCUCCAUAGAGGGAGACCAUUCUUCACUCAAGGAUAGAGGAGCCAUGUUCAUCUGUUAGAACCACCAGAAAAACUCUAAUGGUCCAUUUGCAGGGGAACAAGAGUGGUUAGGGUUCCAGAGGCAUAGCCAGAUGAGGUGCUACAAAUGGCUCUCUCUCUCUGUCU